AUGUGCCAAAUAGCAGUUCUGAAGGAUCACGGGGGCCGUAGCCGAAUCUACGCGUGCCUGUACAGGUCCCACAGCAGUGAUGCAGGUUCAGCUCUGUUUGAGCAUGUGCAAGAGGGGACUAACCGCGUGCUUGAGCAGUACCCAUCUGCGGAGGUGGUGGUUCUUGGAGACUUUAACGCUCACCACCAAGAGUGGUUGGGGUCCAGAACCACUGACCUCCCGGGUCGGACUGCCUACGAUUUCGCCUUGGCCUACGGCUUCUCCCAGCUGGUGACACAGCCCACCCGUGUCCCAGAUAUCGAGGGGCACGAGCCUUCUUUGUUGGACCUUCUGCUGACCACAGAUCCGGCCGGAUACAGUGUGGUGGUCGACGCUCCGCUUGGAUCGUCUGAUCACUGCCUUAUUCGUGCUGCCGUUCCACUCUCUCGUCCUGAUCGUCGAACGACGACCGGGUAUCGAAGAGUUUGGCGGUAUAUGUCAGCAGAUUGGGAUGGAUUGCGUGAAUUUUACGCAUCCUACCCAUGGGGGCGGUUCUGCUUUUCCUCUGCUGAUCCUGACGUCUGUGCGGACCGUCUUAAAGACGUGGUGCUCCAGGGGAUGGAAUUGUUUAUUCCCUCCUCUGAAGUGCCCGUUGGGGGUCGCAGCAGACCCUGGUAUAACAAUGCCAGCAGGGAUGCUGCACACCUCAAGCGGUCCGCAUACGUGGCAUGGGAUAAUGCCAGGAGACGUCAGGACCCUAACAUCUCAGAGGAAAGGCGGAAAUAUAACGCCGCUUCCAGGUCCUACAAGAAGGUUAUUGCCAAGGCGAAGUCGGAGCACGUUGCUAGAAUUGGCGAGCGACUGAAGAGCUAUCCCUCUGGGAGCCGUGCUUUUUGGUCGCUCGCCAAAGCUGCAGAAGGAAACUUUUGCAGGUCUAGUCUCCCACCACUACGCAAGUCCGAUGACAGUCUGGCCCAUAGUGCGAAAGAGAAGGCUGACCUUCUGGUCAAACUCUUCGCCUCGAACUCGACUGUGGACGACGGGGGUGCCACACCACCGAACAUCCUCCGGUGUGAUAGUUCCCUGCCCGAGAUCUGCUUUACACAGUGUGCAGUCAGGCGGGAACUCCGACUCCUGGACGUCCAUAAGUCGAGCGGGCCAGACGGCAUCCCUGCAGUGGUUCUGAAAACGUGCGCCCCUGAGCUGACGCCUGCGCUAACGCGUUUGUAUCGCCUCUCUUAUUGCACUAACAGGGUUCCGUCUUCAUGGAAGACUGCCCACGUCCACCCUAUCCCCAAGAAGGGUGACCGGUCGGACCCAUCGAGCUAUAGGCCUAUCGCGAUAACUUCCUUGCUUUCCAAGGUGAUGGAGCGAAUAAUUAAUAUACAACUCCUGAAGUAUCUGGAGGAUCGCCAGCUGAUCAGUGACCGACAGUACGGUUUCCGUCACGGUCGCUCAGCUGGCGAUCUUCUUGUAUACCUUACUCACAGGUGGGCUGAAGCCUUGGAAAGCAAGGGCGAGGCUCUUGCUGUGAGCCUUGAUAUCGCGAAGGCCUUCGACAGGGUCUGGCAUAGGGCACUUCUAUCGAAGUUACCAUCUUACGGAAUCCCCGAGGGUCUCUGCAAGUGGAUCGCUAGCUUUUUGGAUGGGCGGAGCAUCACGGUCGUUGUAGACGGUGACUGUUCUGAUACCAUGACCAUUAACGCUGGCGUUCCACAAGGUUCGGUGCUCUCCCCCACGCUUUUCAUCCUGUAUAUCAAUGACAUGCUGUCUAUUGAUGGCAUGCAUUGCUAUGCAGAUGACAGCACGGGGGAUGCGCGAUAUAUCGGCCAUCAGAGUCUCUCUCGGAGCGUGGUGCAAGAGAGACGAUCAAAACUUGUGUCUGAAGUGGAGAACUCUCUGGGGCGAGUCUCCGAAUGGGGUGAAUUGAACUUGGUUCAAUUCAACCCGAUAAAGACACAAGUUUGCGCGUUCACUGCGAAGAAGGACCCCUUUGUCAUGGCGCCGCAAUUCCAAGGAGUAUCCCUGCAACCUUCCGAGAGUAUCGGGAUACUUGGGGUCGACAUUUCGAGCGAUGUCCAGUUUCGGAGUCAUUUGGAAGGCAAAGCCAAGUUGGCGUCCAAAAUGCUGGGAGUCCUCAACAGAGCGAAGCGGUACUUCACGCCUGGACAAAGACUUUUGCUUUAUAAAGCACAAGUCCGGCCUCGCAUGGAGUACUGCUCCCAUCUCUGGGCUGGGGCUCCCAAAUACCAGCUUCUUCCAUUUGACUCCAUACAGAGGAGGGCCGUUCGGAUUGUCGAUAAUCCCAUUCUCUCGGAUCGUUUGGAGCCUCUGGGUCUGCGGAGGGACUUCGGUUCCCUCUGUAUUUUGUACCGUAUGUUCCAUGGGGAGUGCUCUGAGGAAUUGUUCGAGAUGAUACCAGCAUCUCGUUUUUACCAUCGCACCGCCCGCCACCGGAGUAGAGUUCAUCCAUACUACCUGGAGCCACUGCGGUCAUCCACAGUGCGUUUCCAGAGAUCUUUUUUGCCACGUACCAUCCGGCUAUGGAAUGAGCUCCCCUCCACGGUGUUUCCCGAGCGCUAUGACAUGUCCUUCUUCAAACGAGGCUUGUGGAGAGUAUUAAGCGGUAGGCAGCGGCUUGGCUCUGCCCCUGGCAUUGCUGAAGUCCAUGGGCGACGGUAACCACUCACCAUCAGGUGGGCCGUAUGCCCGUCUGCCUACAAAGGCAAUAAAAAAAAAAAAAAAAAAAAAAAAAAAAAAAAAUUUUUCAUCACGCAGAUAAAAUUGACGUAAAAGUCAUAAUAUUAAAUAGUGCACGAUCUAAAUCUUCUAUAUAACACUUCGCUUUUAAUUAAACAAUAUAACAUAAACAUCACUUCUCGGACAUUAUUGUAACUUGAUAGUGAAUAAAACAGAAUCCCUUUGCUCGGGAAACAUUCAAGCAAGAAAAAACAUUUUGAUUCUACAAUAAAAAAAAAAACACUUUCAAAAUAUUCAAAUCUCUCAAGGACACGAAUCUCAAUAAAAUCAAAUUAAAUCAAUAUGAUAAUGUUCAUUUGAAAAAUCAAUAAUAUAAAAAAAAACCUUUAAGUUAUCAAAUGUGUCUACUUGUUUACAUUUUACCUUUGAUUGUAAGUCCGUUUUUGUCUUGUGUUCCCUGUUGUGAUUGCUGCAUGAACUACAUUAUACCGGAAGAGAGCAAAGAAGUUCGAAUAACCUAUUGCAUUUUAUUGAUUGCAAUAGGUAGUGCUGUGCUUCGAUAAAGUCUUCAGUCAUCAAAUCAAGGCUACAAUAAAAACUGCAUUGAAAGACGUAAAUUUGUUCGAGAAAUAUUUAAAAAAAACAUUGCUUGAGAAUUCGCUUCUUAUAUUUUGGAGUGCAAAUGGAUUUUGAACAGAAUGUGUUGUAUUUUCCCGUGCUGCAUGGUUACCUGCCCGUUUCUGCUUAGCCCCAUUAUAGCUUGCUUCCCGAUAUUGUGCCCGUGUUUCAUAGCUUGCUGCACGACCGAAGAUAAAGAUGUGUCAAGUAAUUAAAUUGGUUUUUCGAAAAAUUAACAAUUGAGUUAUC